rnacentral:rRNA from 1 species
UAAGGAAUAUUGGUCAAUGGAGGGAACUCUGAACCAGCCAUGCCGCGUGCAGGAAGACAGCCCUCUGGGUCGUAAACUGCUUUUAUUCGGGAAUAAACCUACUUACGUGUAAGUAGCUGAAUGUACCGAAGGAAUAAGGAUCGGCUAACUCCGUGCCAGCAGCCGCGGUAAUACGGAGGAUCCAAGCGUUAUCCGGAUUUAUUGGGUUUAAAGGGUGCGUAGGCGGCUUAUUAAGUCAGGGGUGAAAGACGGUGGCUCAACCAUCGCAGUGCCCUUGAUACUGAAGAGCUUGAAUAAACUAGAGGUAGGCGGAAUGUGACAAGUAGCGGUGAAAUGCAUAGAUAUGUCACAGAACACCAAUUGCGAAGGCAGCUUACUAUGGUUUAAUUGACGCUGAGGCACGAAAGCGUGGGGAUCAAACA